CGCUAACUAUAUUCUCAGUUAUCACGCGACUUCUCGAUCCUUCCUCUGCACAUGUAAAUACCCUUCUUAUUUUCCCCGCAGCCACGUUCAGCUGUGUGUCUCAAUAGACAUCGUAUCGUUCAAUCUCUUUCUCAUCCUCUUGGCACGCUCACGGAUUGGAUCGCUUUUUUUGGGAUAUCAUCGAUUGUUUCUUCCGAUUGACGAAAGUUUGCUUUGAUUUUUGUGAUAAAUAUAAGCAAACGAAUAACGAUCUAUAGGGUCGUGAUUAAAUUAUCGAAAUCGUCGAUUAAACCGAUUUCAAGUGUUUUAUUUAUUUAUUUAUUUAUUUAUUUGUUAUUUUUUUAAUGAUUCAAAGGCAUAUGAAAUCAGAAUCUUUAAGGUAAUAUUAUGUCUCGUUAAUCUUAACUCGAAGAUUACGCGGAAACCAGAGAGAUCGUGAUAGGGAAAGGGCUCAGGCAAGGGCUGGGGGUAAACCUAAAAAUCCCAAAACAGAUGGAUUAACUCCUGAACAAAGACGAGAAAGGGAUGCAAAGGCACUACAAGAAAAACUGGCAAAAAAAGCUUGUAAAGAUUCAUCUGGAGCUUUUAAUGGGUCAAAUGGCAUUAAAACCAAGAAAUAGAUGUUGAUUAUGUGUGUAAA